rnacentral:snRNA from 1 species
AUCGCUUCUCGGCUCAUUGAGCUAAGAUCAAAGUGUAGUAUCUGUUCUUAUCAGCUUAAUAUCUGAUACGCAGUUCAUAGAACUGCCAGUAUAUUAGCUCGAUUUUUGUAUCAUGGCGGAUACGCAGAGCUUGCUCUGCUUCUGCCGAGGGUUGAAUCGGUCUUGCAGUACAUCCGGUUUCAGCUCACACAUU